rnacentral:rRNA from 1 species
AGCGGCGGAUGGGUGAGUAACACGUGGGGAACCUGCCCCUAAGUCUGGGAUACCAUUUGGAAACAGGUGCUAAUACCGGAUAAUAAAGCAGAUCGCAUGAUCAGCUUUUGAAAGGCGGCGUAAGCUGUCGCUAAGGGAUGGCCCCGCGGUGCAUUAGCUAGUUGGUAAGGUAACGGCUUACCAAGGCGACGAUGCGUAGCCGAGUUGAGAGACUGAUCGGCCACAUUGGGACUGAGACACGGCCCAAACUCCUACGGGAGGCAGCAGUAGGGAAUCUUCCACAAUGGACGCAAGUCUGAUGGAGCAACGCCGCGUGAGUGAAGAAGGUUUUCGGAUCGUAAAGCUCUGUUGUUGGUGAAGAAGGAUAGAGGUAGUAACUGGCCUUUAUUUGACGGUAAUCAACCAGAAAGUCACGGCUAACUACGUGCCAGCAGCUGCGGUAAUACGUAGGUGGCAAGCGUUGUCCGGAUUUAUUGGGCGUAAAGCGAGCGCAGGCGGAAAAAUAAGUCUAAUGUGAAAGCCCCCGGCUUAACCGAGGAACUGCAUCGGAAACUGUUUUUCUUGAGUGCAGAAGAGGAGAGUGGAACUCCAUGUGUAGCGGUGGAAUGCGUAGAUAUAUGGAAGAACACCAGUGGCGAAGGCGGCUCUCUGGUCUGCAACUGACGCUGAGGCUCGAAAGCAUGGGUAGCGAACAGGAUUAGAUACCCUGGUAGUCCAUGCCGUAAACGAUGAGUGCUAGGUGU